AUGGGCGCGAUGCCGAUGCCGCCACCGCCGGCCGACCACGCGGCAACGAAGGCGGCGGCGCCGCACAAGAUGAUGGGGAUGAUGCACAUGACCUUCUUCUGGGGCGACCGCGCGGUGGUCCUCUUCCCGGGCUGGCCGGGGGAGCGCGGCGCCGGGAUGUACCUCCUCUGCCUCCUCUUCGUGCUCGCCCUCGCCGCGCUCACCGAGGCCCUCGCCCUGCUCUCGCGCCGCCUCGCCCGCCGCGGCGAGGACGGCGGCCCGGCCACGGCGGCAUCUGCGGCGCUGCUGACGGCGGUGCACGCCGCCAGGAUGGGGAUGGCCUACCUGGUGAUGCUGGCCGUCAUGUCGUUCAACGUCGGCGUCCUCCUCGCGGCAGUCGCCGGCCACGCCGUGGGGUUCCUCUUCGCGCGGAGCAGAGUGCGCACCGGCGCGGCGCGCGGGAAUGUCACAUCCCCUGAGCUCUGUGGCGUCCCGCCGUCGCACGCGUCCAAGCCUUAG
rnacentral:rRNA from 1 species